UACGGGGUAGGGCAGUGUUCGGUCGAAUUAUUGGGCGUAAAGCGCGUGUAGGCGGCCAGAUAAGUCCGCUGUGAAAUCUCGAGGCUCAACUUCGAGCUGUCGGUGGAAACUGUCUGGCUAGAGUCCGGAAGAGGAGAAUGGAAUUCCUGGUGUAGCGGUGAAAUGCGCAGAUAUCAGGAAGAACACCCGUGGCGAAGGCGGUUCUCUGGGACGGUACUGACGCUGAGACGCGAAAGCGUGGGGAGCGAACAGG
rnacentral:rRNA from 1 species